ACAUAUCCAACCUGCCGAUAACUCGGGGAUAGCCUUUCGAAAGAAAGAUUAAUAUCCGAUAGCAUAUCAAUCCCGCAUGAGCUUGAUAUUAAAGAAUUUCGGUUAUCGAUGGGGAUGCGUUCCAUUAGGCAGUUGGUGGGGUAACGGCCCACCAAACCUUCGAUGGAUAGGGGUUCUGAGAGGAAGGUCCCCCACAUUGGAACUGAGACACGGUCCAA
rnacentral:rRNA from 1 species